AUCCAGUCGACGAGUCCCAAAUAAGACGAAAUGCACAUGAUGGAU
rnacentral:hammerhead_ribozyme from 1 species